AUUGAACGCUGGCGGCAGGCCUAACACAUGCAAGUCGAGCGGAUGAAGGGAGCUUGCUCCUGGAUUCAGCGGCGGACGGGUGAGUAAUGCCUAGGAAUCUGCCUGGUAGUGGGGGAUAACGUCCGGAAACGGGCGCUAAUACCGCAUACGUCCUGAGGGGGAAAGUGGGGGAUCUUCGGACCUCACGCUAUCAGAUGAGCCUAGGUCGGAUUAGCUAGUUGGUGGGGUAAAGGCCUACCAAGGCGACGAUCCGUAACUGGUCUGAGAGGAUGAUCAGUCACACUGGAACUGAGACACGGUCCAGACUCCUACGGGAGGCAGCAGUGGGGAAUAUUGGACAAUGGGCGAAAGCCUGAUCCAGCCAUGCCGCGUGUGUGAAGAAGGUCUUCGGAUUGUAAAGCACUUUAAGUUGGGAGGAAGGGCAGUAAGUUAAUACCUUGCUGUCUUGACGUUACCAACAGAAUAAGCACCGGCUAACUUCGUG
rnacentral:rRNA from 1 species